rnacentral:rRNA from 1 species
AUUGAACGCUAGCGGGAUGCUUUACACAUGCAAGUCGAACGAGUGGCGGACGGGUGGGUAAUAAAUCGGAACGUGCCCAGGAGCUGGGGAUAACUACGCGUAAGAGAGGCUAAUAACGCAUACUAUUGGCGCGGCCGAUAUCGGAUUAGCUAGGUGGUGGGGUAAAGGCGCACCAAGGCAACGAUCCGUAGCUGGUUUGAGAGGACGACCAGCCACACUGGGACUGAGACACGGCCCAGACUCCUACGGGAGGCAGCAGUGGGGAAUUUUGGACAAUGGGGGAAACCCUGAUCCAGCCAUCCCGCGUGUAUGAGAAGGCCUUCGGGUUGUAAAGUACUUUUGGCAGAGAAGCGGUAUCUGCAGAAUAAGCACCGGCUAACUACGUGCCAGCAGCCGCGGUAAUUC